GGACAGCCAAGGAGAUGGAAAGAUCAGAUGACACUGAAAAUAUUCACGGCCAGCCUGGCUGGGGCCUGGGCAGUCAGAACAAACACCCCUGGAGGCAUUGGGCCCCAGCAGGUACCCUCGGCCCCCUAGGACUGACCAUUCAGUGCUAUCACCUGGAGGAAGAGGUGUGGAGGGAAGACGCCACCUUCUCCAGAAACACAUGAGAUGGACAAGCUCUCUCAGUGCUGGGUAGUUUCACGCACAUUGCGUGUGUGCUGACUCAAUCUCCCAAAAGGUUUACCUCAAAGGAUGGAACCCAAAGACAGUUAUUUCCAUUUUCAUCUCCAUUUUACAGAUGGGGAAACUGACAGCCAUGGGGGAGACACUUUCCAAAGGUCAGGACAGUGCAGAGGGAGCAAAGCUGGCAUGGAGAGCCCUCAGGCUGCUGCGGAGGCCCCGCGUUCAGCAGUGACAUCACACUGCCUCUCUGACUUUUCUUUGCCAAAAGAAAGAAUCCCAGGACCCAGAGAGGACCUUGGAGGUCCUCUAAGCAAUUCCCUCCUCUCUGUUCUCAAACCACUUGGAGAUGGGGAAACUGAGGCAUGAGGGGCUAAGGGAAGUUUCUGAAUCUACAAGGCAAUCAGAGACCUUCUUUAACCAGGUACGCCUAGCUCCUGCCCUUUGAGUCAACAGCCUCUCUGAUACUCUUAGAAACACAGCAGGAAGAAAAGUUCACGCAAGAAAGCAAGCCCAUUUUUUCACUUUUUUGUGAGGAGAAGGAUUUCAUAUAGGACGUCGCACAGUGAGUGCAUCCACCAUAGACGCACAUGCAUGCCCUCUCCCCGUCCAGGGAAGCAAGCAGCCAGCUCUAAUGAUAAUACGUUUCCUGAGAACUUUCCACUCGCUCUGAAGCACUUCUAAUUGUGUCUGGAGCCUUUCCUUCCUACCCCACAGGAUGAGCCGGGACAUGCCGCUCGCGAGUUUUCUCUCUUACACUGGCCUGGAGCUGUGCCAGGAGCCUUGGAGCCGAGUUGAAGGGGAUUCCCAGCUCCCCACAUCCCACCAUCUCUCUGGGCUGCAUUUUAUCACCUGCAAAGUGGUGAGAGAGCAAUACCUGCUUCCACGUGCAGGUGUUCCUGGAAGGAUUCAGUGGAUGGCGACUGCGGGUCAUCCAGCUGCCACUGGUCCAUGAGUACCAGCUGUUCUCACGGUGGUUCUGAAAGGGGUAGACAGAGGCAAAUUGGUUCGUUUCUUCUUUGUUGUGAAGCCACGAUUAUCUUUUAAGGCACUCUGAGGAUUAACAGCAACUACCUUCUCUUUCCUGAAGCCAAAUACUUCUUCAAGAACACCUGGGGGUCUGGGCCAGCCUGUCCCCAGCUGGUUUCACAAGUCAGCAGGUGUCCCCAACCACCUCCUGGGGUUUCAUGAACUAAGCCCACUUUAACCUACAUACAUUGUGAUAUCCUAUUAUAUUACAUAAAAUGCUUGCAUUGCAUAAUAUUUCUAUGUUAUAAAAUAUACAUACCUAAUAUAGAAUAUGCUAGAUAUUAUAUAAUGUUUAUAAUAUAUGAUAUAACAUAAGGAGGUGAUGCCGUGAUCAGGUACAAC
rnacentral:lncRNA from 1 species